UACAGAGGUGGCAAGCGUUGUUCGGAAUUACUUGGCGUAAAGGGCGCGUAGGCGGCCUUCUAAGUCAGACGUGAAAUCCCCCGGCUUAACCUGGGAACUGCGUCUGAUACUGGGAGGCUAGAGUAUGGGAGAGGGAUGUAGAAUUCCAGGUGUAGCGGUGAAAUGCGUAGAUAUCUGGAGGAAUACCGGUGGCGAAGGCGGCAUCCUGGACCAUUACUGACGCUGAGGCGCGAAAGCUAGGGGAGCAAACGGG
rnacentral:rRNA from 1 species